UUUAAUUCUAUUUACCUGAGAGUCUAAAAAAGUCAAAAGCAGGUGGUCGGCAGGACCUCAGGAAAGAGAACUGACUGCAGUGGGUUAAGAGAAAACUUUUUGGGGUGAUGGAAAUUUUAUCUUAAUUGAGGUGGUAGGUGUACUUCAGGUGUAGGUUAUACCUUUGUAAAGCUGGGAGAAAAAGAAUGUAAUGUAACAUGUAGUAUUUUACUGAUUUUAACUACAUAACACCAGUUGAUAAAUGCCUAGAGAAAUAGCCUGAACUGUAGAAUUGGCAGUUGUGCUCAAGGUGGCUCACUGGUCCACAGCUAUUAAUGAUAUAUUCUCCCUUAGUUUCAGGUUCGCUCUAGUUAAAAUCAUGGCUUAUGGAUCAUCAUAUGAUAGCCCUUGUUGAAGUAGGUGGAACCAUUUGUUCUGUCAGCAGCUACCCACCUGGAUAUUUUUGGGGGUGGCCAAAAUUACUUGUAAUGAAAAACCCACUAAUGCCUAAUUGUAUAUCCCAGCAUGAAAGGGGAAAGAUCAACUCCAUGCAUCAUGUAGAUGUUUCUGCCCUCGGAAGCAGGAAAUGGUAGGCAGAAAAACAGUGUCGGCUGCAUUGGAAGAAGCGAAUCCAGCUCAUGAGUCGAGGCUCUGCAGCCAGAUCAUCUUACACUUGUCCCUGGUGAAGCAUUUGAACUGGAGCCAGGGCAGUCUGUGAGUACUGCCAAAAGCCUUUAUUACAGAAGAUGCACACCUUCUUAGUAAAAACUGGGAGCUCUAGUAUUAAAGUGAAAAUUAAAUGGAAUUGAUUUUUGUUCUAGCUUAGAAAAAACUUAAAUUCUACCACUACAGCCUCACAGUCCUGCAGUGCUCUUCUAGUUUUGUUUGUUUUUUGUUUUUUUAGACGGAGUCUCGCUCUGUCACCCAGGCUGGAGUGCAAUGGCACAAUCUUGGCUCACUGCAACCUCCACCUCCUGGGUUCAAGCAAUUCUCCUGCCUCAGCUUCCCGAGUAGCUGGGACUACAGGUGUGUGCCACCAUGCCUGGAUAAUUUUUGUAUUUUUAGUAGAGACGGGGUUUCACCACGUUAGCUAGGCUGGUCUCGAACUUCUGACCUCAGGCGAUCUGUCCACCUCUGCCUCCCAAAGUGCUGGGAUUACAGGCGCCCAGCCUGCUCUUCUGUUUUUAAAUUAUUUUUGAAUUGAUCUUUUUUCACAUUUUAAUUUUUUUGGUUUAAUAACGGUAUGAGAGUAGGAAUUCUCCCUGAUGUGUAGGGUGAAAACAGUUGAGUUUCAGAGAGAUCAAUAACUUACUCAGAAGUCACAUAGCCAAUAAAUGAGUUUGAGACACUAUAAAAGAGUGACUUGGAGUCCACAGACCACUCACUGAUUUGCAUUAUUUACUUAUUUAUGCGAAAGUAAAUAAUGGGACUUUCUACACUUUUUAAAAAUAUAAAAAUAAUGGGAGACAAAAAGUUAAAAAUUGUUAAGUCCAAUACUUUAAAAAAACUCUGCAAACUGUGGCCUUACUGAGUUAAUCUACCUUUCUUCCUCCUGAUUCCCUGAAGUAACUAACUGCUGUUAACAAUUUAGCCUGUAUUGUUCCUUAGUUUGGACAUUUUCCUUGAUUUGUACAGUCAGCCACACACACCUGCUCACAUUUUUGGGGGUCAUGCUCUACUUACUGGUUUGCAACAAGUUUUGUUUUUUAUUUUACAUAUAUCUCAUGACAUUUCACUUAAUAUGCCCCAUUUUUUCAGGUCAGUGCCUAUAGACCUAUCUCAUUCUUUUAAAUGAGGUAAUAUUCUAUUGUACAGAUGUCCGUAAUUGUUCAAUUAUUCCCUUGUUGGUGGACAUUCAGUUGUUUCCAACUGUUUGCAAUUAUAAACACUGCUCCAAUGAACCCCCUAUCCUGCUAAAUAGCACUGGCUUAGGACCCCAAGGAAAACCAGUCCUAAUGGGUGCAAGACUGUAUAAAUAUCCACAUUUGACAGACACAUUCAGAGAUGCAUAGAGUUCAUUAGAUAUUUCUUUGAUGUGACGUUUGUACUUGAACUAUAUAUUAUUCCAGUACCUUACAUCUUAGAUGUAGAAGUCGCUAGGUCAAAGGAUGUGUUUUGAAUUUAAAACAUGUUGAAUGACUGUUCUCACAUUUUAAACAGGAGUAAUCUACUACAAACCAGCCAGCCUAACCACUGCCCCUGCUCUCAGCAAUGAUGGGCUCAUCAGCUUGGUAAGAGAGAACAUUACUCACAAUCUUGCUUCUCAAUCUUAAUCUAUUUGUGCUUGGUGUUUUAUAUAACAUCACUAACCCUAAUACUUGAGUAUUUACUUUGGCCCUUCUGUCCAUUUUAUCCAAAAGCAAACAGAUAGCCUUCAAGGGACACCAUUGCCUUAAGCAGAAUAUGCCUCCUAAGCAUUGAAAGCCUUUGACCCAUCUGAUAUCCAAGUUCUGGCUUAUUAUGUUAUUAGGGCCUUGAAUAACUUUAUGUAUAUUAUUAUGGACUGAAUGUAUCCCCACAAAUUCAUGUUGACCCUCUGACCUCCAGUGUGAUGGUCUUUGGAGAUGAGGCCUUUGGCAGGUGAUUAGAGCUAGAUGAGGUCAUGAGAGGGAGGCCCUCAUGAAAGGCUCAGUGGCCUGAUAAGAAGAAACACCAGAGAGCUUGCUCUGUUUCUCUGCCUACCUGGCGCACACAUACAGAAGAGGUGAUAUGACCACACAGCAACAUGGUGGCCACCAGCAAGCUAGGAGAGGGAUCAGAAUGAAACCUAUUUUGCUGGCACCUUGAUCUUGAAAUUCUAGCCUCCAGAACUGUGAGAAAUAAAAUUCUUUUAUUG
rnacentral:lncRNA from 1 species